UAGGGAAUCUUCCACAAUGGACGACAAGUCUGAUGGAGCAACGCCGCGUGAGUGAAGAAGGCUUUCGGGUCGUAAAACUCUGUUAUUGAAGAAGAACGUGUGUGACAGUAACUGGUCAUGCAGUGACGGUAUUCAAUCAGAAAGUCACGGCUAACUACGUGCCAGCAGCCGCGGUAAUACGUAGGUGGCAAGCGUUGUCCGGAUUUAUUGGGCGUAAAGCGAGUGCAGGCGGUCUUUUAAGUCUGAUGUGAAAGCCUUCGGCUUAACCGAAGAAGGGCAUCGGAAACUGGGAGACUUGAGUGCAGAAGAGGAGAGUGGAACUCCAUGUGUAGCGGUGAAAUGCGUAGAUAUAUGGAAGAACACCAGUGGCGAAGGCGGCUCUCUGGUCUGUAACUGACGCUGAGGCUCGAAAGCGUGGGUAGCAAACAGGAUUAGAUACCCUGGUAGUCCACG
rnacentral:rRNA from 1 species